GUCGAUGAUCUCCGAUCACCGGAAUAUUUGGAAUCGCCAUUUAGUCAACAUCUAAGUAUCUUGAACCAGUGAACCGGAGAGAGAAAACACAAGCUCUGGACCGGAGAGAAUCGAGUCCAUGGUCUAGGGUUUAGUGUUUCCACAAGCUUCAGUACAACAACACCACUUCAUUUCCACCAUGAAUGAUUCAAAGCUUUUCGUCUUCCUCGUCUGCUUACUUGCUCAGUUUUUCCU
rnacentral:misc_RNA from 1 species